rnacentral:lncRNA from 1 species
CUUCUGUGAUUUUUGCUAGUGGUUCGGCCUCGAUCCAUUUGGUGAAGUAGUCGAUCGCUACAAGGAGGAACUUCCUUUGCCCAGACGCCAUGGGAAAGGGGCCAAGAAUAUCCAUCCCCCAUUGUGCAAAAGGCCAUGGGGCACUCAAGGGUGUGAGCUCGGUAGCGGGUUGUCUCUGGAUGUUGGCGUAUCUCUGGCAUCGAUCACA